UUCCGGCGUCCUGACCCGCGUUCCGGCGUCCGAGGAGGCGCAGAAGAGUCGCGGCGUCCUGACCCGAGUCUGGACCACACAGGAGACCAUCGGUAUGCAGGAACUGACAUGUUGGAGUGACUGACCUUGUACUGACCACCGUGGAAGAGUUCUAUCUUACUCCUCCGUCACCAUUACUGGUCCACCUUUUCUCAGCUGUAAGACCAAGGUCCUGGACCAGGGGACGUGAUCCUCGAGCACACCUGCGACUGAACGUCUAAUCCGGCCCCGGAUGGCGGCGUCUGUGUGGAGCUCCGCUGAGCGAAGAGCGUGCCUCUCGACAGCCAGCAGGUGGCAGCAAAGCCCCGCUCCGAAGGGCCCCUUGGCGCGGGCUGCUCAGCUCUGGUCCUC